UGCAUAGUAACUUCAAAAUUUCUAUAAAUAGGGACCUAAGGAUUUUGAAAAUUCAUAACUAGAGAGAAGAAAAGUUUAGAGAGAAGGAAUUCUAGAGAGAUAGAAAGAGAAAAUAAGAGAGAAGGUUCUGCCUAGGUUGUGAAAAGAGGAGGAGAAUAGAGAAGGUUCUGCUCUAGUUCCGGUUCCGGUUUAAGGAGAAAGAGAGGAGAUUCUGCCCAAAUUCCUAUUUAUCCAGGUGAUCAUCAUCAUGAGGAUGUUGGUGAUGAGGCCUAAAGGCUUCUUGGGGCAUGCUCUGAUAGGAUGUGACAUCGGGUUUAGCUAGGAUUUCUCUUAUGUCUUUCUUGUUCUAAAAAUAUUUUCUUUUCUUGUGUAAUUUAAUAAAUUAUAAAUUGAUUCCUAACUAGGAGGCACUGCCACCUUUACUGGGAUUAAUUUAUAAUCUUUGUUUUAUAAUAACUUCUUGAGUUUAAUAUUUAUGUGUAUGAAUUAUGAAUGUGCAUCUUCUACCUUAUGAUACUUAUUAUUUUAUAUCAUUCUAAGAAAAUCUUUUAUAAAUAUAGUUUAUGUUUA